CCUCAGUUCAAAAUUAAUUAAAAAUAAAUCACACAUUAAUAUUAAUGUUAGUAAUAUACCGACAUAGAAGGAUUUUAUUAAGAGAAAUUUACUAUUUGAUUCUUGAAUUUUGAAUCAAUACUAUAACUUGAUUUCAUAUCUUAGAAAUUGAACGAUUUAAUCUCACUUAUACUUUUGUCAAAAUCAGAGAUCAUUUUGUCCAAUAUUGUCAUUAGUUUAAAUGAAAAGACAAAAACAAUAUUUAUUAAUCAAGAGAAAUUUACUAUUUAACCUAUGGAGUUUAACCGAUAUUACGAUUUGGUCUCUAUGUUUUAGAAAUUAAACGAUUUAGUCCUCAUAAAUAUAGGGACGAAGUUGUAAUAUUAGUCAAAACCAAUGGCCAAAAAGUAAAUUUCCCUUAAUUGAAUAAACAAUAUAAUUAUCUUUUCACUUAAACAGAUAGCAAUAUUGGACAGAAUGACCUCUUGACGGAAGCAUAAGUGGGAGACUAAAUCUUUCAAUUUCUAAAAUAUAAAAACUAAAUUAUAAUAUCGAUCAAAAUCCAAGAACCAAAUAAUAAAUUACCCUUUCACUAAUUAGCUUACAAAUGAUGUGGUAGACUGCUUAAAAAUUUCUCUUUUGCUAUUCAGGUCUACACUUUUUAUUCUUUUUUCUAUUCAGAUCAACGGGCAACAAGUUCCCUGCAAGAACCAAAAGUUGAAAAGCUUCAAAAACGGUCGCAGCCAUCGUAGAACACACUUCCAUCUAAAUCAGCUAAUCAUAGUUAAGUUGCAUAAAAAUAACAAUUUAGGAAAAAAAGAAAAAAGGAACUACCAUUUUGCCAUUUCUCCAUGGAUAUUAGUAUACAUUAAGCUCAACACAACAAUUCAAUGAGCAAUUGUUCAAGUGUUACCAAGGAGCCAGAAAAAUCUUGAAAAUGAAGAUCAUAAAUAUUUAUUAACAUAAAACCAUAAUAUUACAAAAUUGAGGCCAAUUCAAGCUCACACCAAAAUUGUGGCCCUAUAAUGGUACAUAAUGUUUAUGGUAAUUACUAUCCAUUGCAGAUAAUUUAAACAGGCAAGGAAGACCCGGUUUUCAUCAUUGAGAAAUAUGCUCGACCCCUUCAUUUUCCAUGGAUCGAGGCUCUGCAGCUGAUUUUGAAUUAUUUGGUAUCCAAAACGUAAGAACUGAGGAUGCAGCAACAAACAUGGCCCGGCGAGGUGCCCAUUUCAAGCACGAUGAGACACCUAUGUGACUGUUCCAGAAUGCAACCUCAUUUCUCAUGUUGAUAUUCCAGGCAUGCAAGGUUCCAUCUCCUGAGCCUGAUACCACAUACUGGCCAUCAGGAGUAAAAGUUGCCUCUAUAGUAGUAUUUGGAGAUGGUUCCAAACUGAAACCACAUCGCUUCUCUCCUCCAUAUGCAUCAAGAACAUAAAUAUUAUUACUUGUGGUUGUCAAAAGCAUUGAUUUGCCAUCAUUGCUGAAUUUAAUAUCACAAACCUCAGCUGUGUCUCCACCAACUAAAAAGGUGUCAAAGGGACCCUUGUCAUAUGAACGUGAAUCAAACAAUUUAAUCGCACCCCCUUCCAUUGCCACAGCAAAGACAAGACCUUGUUGGUCAUAUGCAACUGUAGGUCUACCACGUAGGCGCAAAAUUCCCUGGCAAGCGUUUACACGAAGAUCCCAUAUUCUGACGCUGUGGUCAAGAGAACCAGACAUGAAACUGUCAUUGAUCGGAGACAUGCAAAGGGAAACAACUCUACAACAGCAAAAGUAAUGAAAAUGGUUAACAUUGCAAUCUAGAAAAAAUUAAAAAUAAAAAGCAGCAAUGUUUAACGGCAUGUCACAGGGGUUGAGACUAUAAGGAAAGAAAAAGCGGAAAAAACCUCCAAACUAUCCUAAUGAUGCCAAGCCAAUACCCAUAAGUACAUAAAAUAAGAUACACUGUAAAAAAUAGCUCAAAUGACCAUUUCUCAUUACAACACACGCUAAUAUGUCCCAACUAUCUGGAGACGUCAUAUAAAACCCAACUUUUGAAACGAACUUCAAAAAUUGAGAUCAAGUUGAGGAAAAAAAAAAAUCUACAAACAACACUUAUCCCAAAAGAAAUUCACUUUGCUACCUAUAUCUACAGCAUAUGUAUUACAUAUACAUUCUUCAUACAUGAUCCUCAAAACUUCCAUAAGUUACUAAUAAAGUACCAAUAAGCAAUGUAAGCCAAACCUCUCCUUAUGCCCUUUGAAGUAGCGAAGACACCUAUUAUCAUACAUUGAUAGAUAUCGUAAGGAUUCUCCAUUAGAAUCCAAAUUGUAUUUAGAGGAACAAAUAACAGAGCUAGGGUGGUGGGUAAAACAAAUGCGGUCAGCACCAUGUUUCUUGUGAUAAGUUGUCUUGAGCAACUUAGCACUUGCAAUGUCAUAAAGCCGAACAGAAUCAUCCUCACUCGCCGUGACCAACAAAUCGUCUUUCCGAUGAAAAUCAACAGAAUUUAUUUUCCCACCAAAAUCUGAGAAAACGGCUCCAAUAGACAUGCUGCGAACUGUAUCGUCAUCCAACUCAGUGAUUGACGUCGUCGCCAUUUGUGGAUUUUUCAGAUUUGUGUGUGUAUGUGUGUGAAAGAUGUUUUCGUGUUUAG
rnacentral:misc_RNA from 1 species